GGCAAGAUACUUCGCGCGCUUUUUCGUUUUUUUAUUUGGUUUGGUGUUCUAUCUCGUCGUUAUUCAAUUAUUGUUUUCAUCUUUAAUCUUGUCUUUCGUCGUCACUUCUUCCUUGACAUGAUAGUAAAGUCAACUCUUAUAUAAUUCGAAUCCAUUUAUCCGACAAAAUCUUCGUUGCGUACUAUGCGCGCGUUUCCUUUCACCUCACCUUGUCCCAUUUGCCGACAAGAUCUGAGCAUCAGCGUUUGAUGGAUGAAAAGAAGACUUGCUUUGAAUCACCCGUGCCAGAGUUUGAAUUCGCCUGGGACUAUUUUUUGACUGAGUGUGAGGUUUGUCUUUGUAAUAUAACUUCAUGCUAGAAGAUACCAUUACGUGCUUUCGAAGCGAAAGCAGGGAAGAAAAGUUACUACGUAUUUAGCAGCUGAGGUAUUUGUAAACUCUGCUUCAGUUUUAAAUGGGAUUAGAUAAUAUUGCGGAUUCUACAACAUU